UACGGGGGGGGCAAGCGUUGUUCGGAAUUACUGGGCGUAAAGGGCUCGUAGGUGGCCAACUAAGUCAGACGUGAAAUCCCUCGGCUUAACCGGGGAACUGCGUCUGAUACUGGAUGGCUUGAGAUUGGGAGAGGGAUGCGGAAUUCCAGGUGUAGCGGUGAAAUGCGUAGAUAUCUGGAGGAACACCGGUGGCGAAGGCGGCAUCCUGGACCAACACUGACACUGAGGAGCGAAAGCUAGGGGAGCAAACGGG
rnacentral:rRNA from 1 species